UGUUGUUGGUGGUGUGGUCGAAGGCAGCAAACAAGUGGGGCUGCUUCUGCGCGCGCGCGCGCGUUCCGGAAGUGAGGGGCGCGCGCACGCCGAUGACGAGCAGCGGCGCGUGCUCGCCAGCCGGGACGCAGGUGGCAACGAGGUGAAUUCGACGACCGGGAUUUGCUUCCUUUCCCGACUGCUUGAAGCAUGUGUUGACGUGAUUCAGGAAAAGAUACUUGUGGGUCCGCGGCGAGGAAAAGGAAGUGGAGUUAUCCCAAUAGCGCGGCGCGACGGCUCUCGCCAUCCAUGGCGAGCCUGGACCCCGUCAACCCUGCCCACGUGGCCUUUGACCGCUUCGUCCAAGCGCAGGACUGUGAGGGUGUUCAGCGGCACUUUGAUGAGCUCUGUCAGCAGCUGGAUAUCGAUCUGAAGGAUUUCCAGAGCUUCUGCAGCGAGCUGAAAGAGAGGCUCAACUACUGGCGGGCCAAAGCCUUGUGGACAAAGCUGGACAAGAGGGCCUCUCACCCGGACUACCAGCAAAGGAAAGCCUGCACCAAAAACAAGUGUCUGAUCCUGGGGGCCGGGCCGUGCGGGCUGAGGACAGCCAUUGAACUCUCCCUGCUGGGGGCUCGGGUGGUGGUGCUGGAGAAGCGAGAGACCUUCUCCAGGAACAAUGUCCUCCACCUGUGGCCCUUCACCAUUUGUGACCUUCGUGGCCUCGGCGCAAAGAAGUUCUACGGAAAAUUCUGCACCAGCUCGUUGGAUCACAUCAGCAUUCGUCAGCUGCAGCUAAUUCUUUUAAAGAUGUCGCUCCUCCUUGGGGUGGAGAUUCACACCGGAGUGGAGUUCCAGGGUCUGCUUGAGCCCUCAGGAGAGAAAGGUUGGACGGCUAAGGUGCUGCCCGAGACUCAUCCUGCUUCGGCCUACCAGUUUGAUGUUUUCAUCUCUGCCGGUGGAGGCAAGUUCGUCCCAGAGGGCUUCAAGCACAAGGAGCUGAGAGGCAAGCUAGCCAUCGGCAUCACGGCCAACUUCGUCAACAGGUGCACGGCGGCGGAAGCCCAAGUGGAAGAGAUCAGCGGUGUGGCCCGCAUCUACAACCAGAAGUUCUUCCAGGACCUUCUGACAGAGACCGGUAUUGAUUUGGAGAAUAUCGUAUAUUACAAAGACGACACCCACUACUUUGUCAUGACUGCCAAAAAGAUGAGCUUGCUGAAGAAGGGCGUCAUCAAACAGGACUUCAACGAAGCGGAGGAUUUGCUGGCAGCGGCCAACGUCGAUCAGGAGGCGCUGCUCCGCUACGCCCGUGACGCCGCCCACUUUUCCACGGGGGGCAAACUGCCUGAGCUGCAGUUUGCCCAGAACCACGCCCGCCAGCCGGACGUCGCCGUCUUCGACUUCACCUGCAUGCAACGAGCCGAGAACGCCUCGCUAGUCAGGGAGCGGAGAGGGAAGAAGCUUUUGACGGCGCUCGUUGGCGAUUGCCUGGUGGAGCCAUUCUGGCCUCUGGGGACGGGAAUCGCUCGUGGAUUCCUGGCAGCUUUGGACACAGCGUGGAUGGUGAGGAGCUGGGGCCUGGGGGUGCCUCCCCUCAAGCUCCUGGCUGAGCGAGAAAGCAUCUACCAGGUCCUGUCGCAGACCACCCCAGAGAACACCGGCAAAAACUACGCCGCCUACAGCAUCGACCCCAAGACACGCUACCUGAGGGUCAACCUGGCCUCCAUCCAGAGCAGCCAGGUGCAGCACCUUUACAUCGUUGAUAAGUCAAAUCCGUCAAGCAAGAAACAGAAUAACAGACGGUCUUAUGCACGUCAAGAUUCCGGUGGUUCUGAGGAGUUGUUGAAAUGGUGCCAGAAACAUACAGCGGGUUACGACAAUGUGGAUGUGAAAGAUUUCACCAAUUCCUGGAGGUCCGGGCUGGCUCUCUGCGCUUUGAUCCACCGCUUCAGACCUCGGCUCAUUGACAUGAGCUCCUUGAAUGCGUCGGCUUGCGUCCGCAAUCAGCAAUUGGCCAUCAGCGUCUUGGAGAAGGAGCUGGGCAUCCCGCCUGUCAUGUCUGCCGCUGACUUUGCCAACGGGGGGCAGAUAGACAGACUGUCCAUGGUCCUCUACCUCACGCAGAUAAAAAACACCUUCACUGUGCUGACGCAAGCAACUUCAUCCAGCUCUUCCGGGGGGAUCCUGAGGCGCUCCUAGGCCAGCCGAAAGAUGUAGUCUCUCCAGCGUGUCCUGGGUCGUCCCCGGGAUCUCCUCCCGGUGGGACGUGCCCGGAACACCUCACCAUGAGGUGUCCGGGAGGCAUCCGAAACAGUUGCGACAUCGGACCGGCAUCUUCCCCCACCAUCGGAGCCAACUCACCAGCGGGUGGUGAUCAGGUGACCGCUCCGCCCAUCUCUUCACCAGAGUGUCCAAGACAUGCGGCCGCAAGUCCGAUGACACGACCACAAAGUCGAUCAUCGAACUUUGACCUAGGGUGUCCUGGUGCCAAGUUCACGUGUGGACACCCUUAUGCUUGAACAUGGACAAUCCGUGAUGAGCACAGAAGUCCAAUAACAGAACACCGCUCGGGUUCUGAUCGGGGGGGCCGUUCCUCCCAAUCACGCCCUUCCAGGUCUCACUGUCAUUGCCCACGUGAGCAUUGAAGUCCCCCAGCAGAACGAUGGAGUCCCCAACGGGAGCGCUCUCCAGCACCCCCUCCAAGGACUCCAAAAAGGGUGGGUACUCUGAACUGCUGUUUGGUGAAUACGCACAAACAACAGUCAGCACCCGUCCCCCCACCCGAAGGCGGAGGGAGGCUACCCUCUCGUCCACCGGGGUGAACCCCAAUGUACAGGCGCCAAGCCGGGGGGCAAUAAGUAUACCCACACCUGCUCAGCGCCUCUAACCGUGGGCAACUCUAUAGUGGAAGAGAGUCCAACCCCUCUUGAGAGGACAGGUACCAGAGCCCAAGCUGUUUGUGGAGGCGAGCACGACUAUACCUAGUCGUAACAUUUCAACCUCACACUCCAGCUCGGGCUCCUUCCCUGCCAGAGAGGUGACAUUCCACGUCCCAAGAGCCAGCUUCUGUAGCCGGGGAUCAGAUCGCCAAGGUCCCCGCCUUCGGCCAGCGCCCAGCUCGCACUGCACCCGACCCCUAUGGCCCCUCCCACAGGUAGUGAGUGAGCCCAUGGGAAGGGGGACCCACGUUACCCUUUCGGGCUGUGCCCGGCCGGGCCCCACGGCUGCAGGCUCAGCCACCAGGCGCUCGCCGUCAAGCCCCACCUUCAGGCCUGGCUCCAGAGGGGGGCCGUUCUGUCUCGCUGGCCUAAAACCUGGACAUGUAUUUUUAGCGUGAGUGAAAGCUUAUCUGCAUUUUGAUUGGCUAAAUGAUGCGCAGUUGGCGGGAACUACUUUUUCAGUGUGUGAUGCAUAAGUCAGUCACUCAGUCUUAGUCUGGAGACACAAUGGCAGAGCGGAAAGCAGGGCUGUCAAAAUCAUUUUUUUGUCACGGGCCACAUUGUCGUGACGGCCGUUAUGACAGAGAAAUGUCAUAUUAAUACGGAACAACAAAUUGAUGGAUAACUAGUUUUUUUUAAAUCAGAAAUCAAGGCUAAUUGGCCAAGUUGCAAUAAAAAUGGGUUUGGUAAAAACUAUUUAUAUUUCAUGUUCAAACUGAUCAACUUGAUUGUUUUUAGCAAAUAACCAUUAACUUUGAAUUUAAUUUUUUUAACACGUUCCAAAAAAGUUGGGACAGGUGGCAAAACAAACUGAGAAAGUUGAGGAAUGCUCAUCAAACACCUGUUUGGGGCAUCCCACAGGUGAACAGGCUCAUUGGGAACAGGUGGGGGCCAUGGUUGGGUAGAAAAGGAGCUUCCCUCAAUUGCUCAGUCAUUCACAAGCAAAGAUGGGGCGAGGUUCACCUCUUGUGAGAAAAUAGUCCAACAGUUUAAGGACAAUGUUCCUCAACGUACAAUUGCAAGGAAUUUAGGGAUUUCAUCAUCUACGGUCCAUAAUAUCAUCAAAAGGUUCAGAGAAUCUGGAGAAAUCACUGCAUGGAAGCGGCAAGGCCGAAAACCAACAUUGCGUGCCCGUGACCUUCGAUCCCUCAGGCGGCACUGCAUCAAAAACCGAUAUCAAUGUGUAAAGGAUAUCACCACAUGGGCUCAGGCGCUACAUCCGUAAGUGCAACUUGAAACUCUACUAUGCAAAGCAAAAGCUAUUUAUCAAGAACACCCAGAAACGCCGCCGGCUUCUCUGGGCCCGAGCGCAUCUAAGAUGGACCGACGCAAAGUGGAAAAGUGUUCUGUAGCCCGACGAGUCCGCAGUUCAAAUUUUUUGGGGAAAUUGUGGACGUCGUGUCCUCCGGGCCAAAGAAGCCAGCAUCUGUGAUGGUAUGGGGCUUUGUUAGUGCCCAUGGCAUGGGUAACUUACACAUCUGUGAAGGCACCAUUCAUGCUGAAAGGUACAUACAGGUUUUGGAGAAACAUAUGCUGCCAUCCAAGCAAUGUCUUUUUCAUGGACGCCCCAUCUUAUUUCAGCAAGACAAUGCCAAACCACAUUCUGCACGUGUUACAACAGCGUGGCUUUGUAGUAAAAGAGUGCGGGUACUAGACUGGCCUGCCUGCAGUCUAGACCUCGUCUCCCAUCGAAAAUGUGUGGCGCAUUAUGAAGCGUAUAAUACGACAACGGAGACCCCGGACUGUUGAACAGCUGAAGCUGUACAUCGAGCAAGAAUGGGAAAGAAUUCCACGUACAAAGCUUCAAUAAUUAGUGUCCUCAGUUCCCAAAUGUUGUUCAAAGAAAAGGUGAUGUAACACAGUGGUAAACGUGACCCUGUCCAAGUUUUCUUGGAACGUGUUGCGGCCAUAAAAUUUUUAAUUCAUGAUUUGCUAAAAACAAUAAAGUGUAUCAGUUUGAACAUUAAGUAUCUUGUCUUUGUAGUGUAUUCAAUUCAAUAUAGGUUGAACAUGAUUUGCAAAUGAUUUUAUUCUGUUUUUAUUUGUUUAACACAACGUCCCAACUUCAUUGGAAUUGGGGUUGUAUUUACAAUCAACUUAAUUUGCUUUGACUGUUGAAUUAUUAUACUAAAGGUAGGUAGUAAGUGCCCCAAGAUGUAAAUCCUUGUUUGGACUGUCAAUACAUUCGAUAUGAUUGAAGAGAAGUGCUGAAAAGGUGCAAAGACUGCGACCAAUCUCGGCUCACUGCCACUCAUCCUCCGGUCAGGCGCUGAAACGCGCAUCGAAGGGACGCUGUCUCUUUAAGAGGCGAUUACCCAUAAUUCCUUGAGCUCAAGCGCUGUGUUCAGCUGCGGCUGCCGCCAGCGUUCCUCCGUGCUGCUCCGCAGCCCGAGGAUUAAUUUUGGCAGCGCGACGGGCGUCGUCACUGUGAAUGGUUCCAGCCGCGGCUGAGGCCAGAUGGGCGCGCCGCGCGCCCUCCCUCCGCGGACGCCGGGCGGCCGUCGUUCGCCGGUAACCUCGCGUGAGUUUUUGUGCGAAGGGGUCCGCUGGGAGGCCUUUUGUGAGAAGAGCAUGAAUCGCCGUCGGAAGAUUUCACACAGUCCUCAGCUCCAGAGCCCAAAGGCUUCCUGACUUCGUCCCAGCCUCUUCCUCUCUCGCGGACGCGCUCGGCGAUCUUCUUCCUCAGCACGCUCAAGCGCAACUCUCUGCAAAGACGCAAGG